CAGGAUUAGAUACCCUGGUAGUCCACGCUGUAAACGAUGAUAACUCGAUGUUGGCGAUAUACUGUCAGUGUCUAAGAGAAAUCGAUAAGUAUCCCACCUGGGGAGUACGAUCGCAAGGUUGAAACUCAAAGGAAUUGACGGGGGCCCGCACAAGCGGAGGAGCAUGUGGUUUAAUUCGAUGAUACGCGAGGAACCUUACCUGGGCUAGAACGUAAAUUUGAUAUUUAGGAAACUAGAUAGUCUGUUAAAGGAAGAUUUACGAGGUGCUGCAUGGUUGUCGUCAGCUCGUGCCGUGAGGUGUCAGGUUAAGUCCUAUAACGAGCGCAACCCCUACACUUAGUUACCAGCACGUUAUGGUGGGGACUCUAGGUGGACUGCCUGCGUAAGCAGCGAGGAAGGUGGGGAUGACGUCAAAUCAGCACGGCCCUUACGUCCAGGGCGACACACGUGCUACAAUGGCAGGUACAGAGGGCAGCUACAUAGUGAUAUGAUGCUAAUCUCAAAAACCUGUCUCAGUUCGGAUUGGAGUCUGCAACCCGACUCCAUGAAGUUGGAUUCGCUAGUAAUCGCAGAUCAGCCAUGCUGCGGUGAAUACGUUCCCGGGCCUUGUACACACCGCCCGUCAAGCCAUGGGAGUUAAUGGUGCCUGAAGCACGUACCUGUGAGGGGCGUUCUAGGGCAAAAUUAGUGACUGGGGCUAAGUCGUAACAAGGUAACCGUA
rnacentral:rRNA from 1 species